AUGACAUCUGCAAAGCUGGUCUUCUGUCUGACAUGUUUGCUGCUGGCUCAGAAGUUUCGUCUGAAAUCAGCCUCAUCUGUAAGACAAGAGGGUGGUUUUAAAUCAGCAAACACUGGUGACAUGGUGACUUUGCGAUGUUUCUAUGAAGUAGAUGAUUUGGCGUGGCUGCAUUGGUACAUGCAAACUGCAGGACAGAAACCAAGGCACAUCUCUACCUUCUUUGUGUACGAUACCGACAUCACUUUUCAUGGCGAAUUCAAGAACAAUCGACGCUUCACAGUGGAUACAAAAAACAAAGCACAUCACUUGACAAUUUCAGAUUUGAAAAUUUCAGACUCAGCUAAUUACUACUGUGCAAUUAGCUACACACAUGUCUUUACUUUUUCAGAAGGCAUCAUUGUCACUGUAGACUCUCCUGUCUUGGUGUAUUUCUUGAGUGGAGCUCUGACGCUGACAACCAUCCUGGUGUUUAUACUGAUCAUCUUAGUGUGCAAGAUGAACAAAGGAACCGACUGCACACCCACAGAGUCCAGAUGUUCAGCUCCCUCCACCACUGGCGCUGAGGGUAACAGCCAAGACACAGACAACCUCUGUUAUGCUGCUUUGGACAUUAACCCACCCAACAGAUCAAGAAAACAGAGAAACAACAUCUCUGAAUGUGUCUACUCCAGUGUUAGGCAGAACAACUAGACCUGCUUUACUUGUUAGAAUCUCUUUAAAGGCGUAUUGUAGAUUUAGAUGAAGAUAUUAAGAUAUAUAAAUAACCUUCUGUUUAGUAUUUGUAAUUUCAAGCAGGAUGCAUCCCUAUUUUUAAAUAUUAUUAGUCUGUUUUCUCACUUUGAGGCUUGUGGCUUUGAGGAUCCAAAAUGAACUUGCUUUUUGGUAAAUGUUAACUUA